ACUCACUAGUGCUAUCCUUUGGUAAUCCUCCCCCCGGAGCCAGCCAAAAUCCUGCCCGCUGCAAAUCAGACCCCCAUAAAUUUGAGGGCCUGCCACGCAGGCUAGUAAGAAGAAUGUUUAACAUGGUUCUACACCUAACACUGACACGUGUUUUAUUUAGAGUUAUCUCAGCACAGCAGUUCUAGUGAAUCACGGCCAUCGACAGCAGCUUCUAGAAUCAGUUCAGCACCAAGUGCAAAUCUACAUCGUGAGAAACUUGUGAAAUCAUUGAAUGCCAGGCGACAAUCAAGUGCUGGAAGUGUUCGAACUAGAAGAGGGUCGUUAAAAUCGGCAGAUGUUGGAUCAUCUAAAGGUCGUUGGAUCGCAUGUGGAACAGAAGAAAUCAGGUCUUCAUUGACGCCAAGCCUGUUCCCCAAUCUACCAUCGACUAUACACUUCACUAUUGAUGGUGAACGAG
rnacentral:lncRNA from 1 species